rnacentral:misc_RNA from 1 species
GAAGUGCGAUAAGCAGUGCGAAUUGCAGAACCGUGAGUCAUCAGAUUUUUGAACGCAAUUGGCGCCGAUUGGCUCUCCAGUCGGCAUGCUUGUUUCAGUGUCUUGUUUUCUCCUCACCAAAAUCUUAAUGCGAGAGAUACCCUUCUCUUGUUAAGUAAGAAAGCACUCUGAGCCCUGCUGGUGUCAGACUUCGGUCUUGGACACACUCAAUGCAGUAGUCACAUUGUUCACAGUGUGAACUCAUUGAGAGUAGAGUCAGCGCAGCUUGUCUGCAAGUGCUUGGAUCACUUAAACUCUUCUUGUAUCUGAAAUCAAGCAGGAUCACCCGCUGAACUUAA